AUUGCACGCUGGCGGCAGGCCUAACACCUGCAUGUCGAACGAGUGGCGGACGGGUGAGUAAUGUCUGGGAAACUGCCUGAUGGCAGGGGAUAACUACUGUAAACGGUAGCUAAUACCACAUACCAUCGACUGUGCCCAGAUGGGAUUCGCUAGGCGGUGGGGUAAAGGCUCACCUAGGCGACGAUACCUAGCUGGUCUGAGAGGGUGACCAGCCAAAAUGGAACUGAGACACGGUUCAGACUCCGACGGGAGGCAGCAGUGGGGAAGAUUGCACAAUGGGCGCAAGCCUGAUGCAGCAAUGCCGCGUGUAUGAAGAAGGCCUUCGGGUUGUAAAGUACUUUCAGCGGGGAGGCGUUACCCGGAGAAGAAGCACCGGCUAAGUUCGCGACAGCAGCCGCGGUAAUAC
rnacentral:rRNA from 1 species